CUACGUGCCAGCAGCCGCGGUAAUACGGAAGGUCCAGGCGUUAUCCGGAUUUAUUGGGUUUAAAGGGAGCGUAGGCCGUGGAUUAAGCGUGUUGUGAAAUGUAGACGCUCAACGUCUGAAUUGCAGCGCGAACUGGUUCACUUGAGUAUGCACAACGUAGGCGGAAUUCGUCGUGUAGCGGUGAAAUGCUUAGAUAUGACGAAGAACUCCGAUUGCGAAGGCAGCUUACGGGAGCACAACUGACGCUGAAGCUCGAAGGUGCGGGUAUCAAACAGGAUUAGAUACCCUGGUAGUCCGCACAGUAAACGAUGGAUGCCCGUUGUUAGUUCACUUAAGAAUUAGCGACCAAGCGAAAGCAUUAAGCAUCCCACCUGGGGAGUACGCCGGCAACGGUGAAACUCAAAGGAAUUGACGGGGGCCCGCACAAGCGGAGGAACAUGUGGUUUAAUUCGAUGAUACGCGAGGAACCUUACCCGGGCUUGAAUUGCAGACGAACGAUUCAGAGAUGAUGAGG
rnacentral:rRNA from 1 species